GAAGGGGAGGGUCGAAGCAAAGUGACAGCCCUUUUCCCCAACCCAGGAGGCAGAGACAGAGCAAAUGGAAACCUGUUGAACUUGUCUUUCUGGGAGAGGACUCUAAUUGGCCAAGCAGGAUGCUGCUAGGCUCUGGUGUCCAAGUGUCUAAGUCCCUGCUUCCAUGCCUUUGCUGGGUCACGUGUUCUCGGUGUUUAACCUUCUGCAAAGCCUUUGUCAGGGCUGUUUUGACGCGUGGAUAGGCUCCCAGAGGUAAGCAGUUUCCUCCGGCAGACUCUCUCACCAUUCUCCACGUCCCCUUCCCAGCUUCCAAAAUAACGGCACAACUGAUCAUGAACUGAAAUCUUCAGUUCUGUGAAACCAAGAUUAACCUGUCUCUUUUCUGUGAGCUGAUUAUCUCAGUUAUUUUGCUAUAUUAACGAGAAGCUAGCGG